CCGGUUCUCCCCCGGUGAAGACCCUUCGGGCAGCGGCUCCAGCCCCUCGAAGGUUCCUUCCACUGAAACGGUUCGGCAGAGCCGAGGGGUCAGUGCCUUCGGGGGUUGCGGGGUCAAUCUCGACGAUUUCAGCUCGACCCCAAUCCGUGGGGAAUGGGGAGGACAACGAUCCCGGCUUCCCAACAGGAACAACGGCCGGAGCAACCGCCGUCGAGCCGGGACGGCAGCCGCAGGUCACCAGAACCGGGCAUCAACUAAAAUGGGGCGUAGGAAUGGGCGAGGUGGGCGCCGGGUUAGUGAAACGUUCCCAUUUGUGGUGAUUUUUGGACUAAAUCAUCGUAAUCUGGUUAUUUUUCCUUCGGCGCGGAGCAAAUAGGAUUGGCGUCGGCAACCUGGGAAUCCCUAUGGCUUUUCAGUCCCAUGUUUCGUGUUCGAACUGGGGAGAACUUUGCUGCCAGCCUCCAUCCUCAUGCCGAGGGCUUUCGCCUCAGUGAAAAGCUGUUGUUGGUUUUUUUCGUGUGCCUGUUUCUCAGCGCCGGGCAUUGGGGCGAAGAUCUGUGUGUAACCGCCGAGGCCGUACUCGGAUUCGGGUCGCUCAGCUGUGCCGCAGUGAGACAUGAGCUUAAAAACAACUCCCGAGAGUUUACCUGUCUUGAUCUCAGGAGGAAAGGGAGUUUCUCAUCUGGCUAAUUACAGGUUGCCUCGCUGCCGAGCCGUGGACUCCGUAUGCUUUCCUUGUGGGCGAGGAGGCUGGUGGUGACUCACUGGCUUGAGCAUCUCUGACAAUCCCAUGCUUAAGGGAAAUGUCUUUGCACCAACGCCGUGUCGUGGGAGUCGCUUAUGCAAGGAGCGCGGUAACGGGCCGGAUCCUCCCAGGAGGUGGCAACGGCUCCUUGUUACACCAGGGAGAGCGUGGCUCGUGGCUUACCCGUCUGUAAAAUGGGCUAACACCGGCAUGGUGCUGUAUAUGUGAUAAUUAGUUACUGCGAUGCGCUUGCGGCAUGCACGGAGGGGAGACGAUUUUCAACUUUUUUAGCAGGGCUAAAAAAGACAAUCUUGUCAGCUUAAGUCACAUAGCCGGAAAAGCCAAACCUGGUGGCUGGAAUCCUCCACAUUGGAUCGCCAACAAUGUCAGAUUUCUUCUUCCCGACCCUGCCACGUGUUUCCAGUCCUUGGCGAAGACUGAUCGCAGUUGCUGCCGUUCACACGCCGCAGUUGGACUCUCUGGUUUGGGUUUGGGUUCACUUUCCGCUGCGCCUUGCGUGGAGCUCGGCUGUUCCUGACCCUGGAAGAGCUGUGCUCUUCUAUACACUGUGGUAUAAAGAGUGUGCAAACUCCUGUUGCAGGAGGAGAGCGGGCUGGUUGGUGGGAGCUUAAAGCAUCAUGGCAGUUUUUUCUUUGGCACUUCUUUUCUUCAUAGUGUUUAAAAUAAAAUAAAAAAGAAAGCCUUGCAGUGCUAAUUGUGAGACUUGGGUUAAUAGUUUCAGUAGAACAAAAGCUGCUGUUUAAAGAAGGUGUAAAAGGAAAAUAGAAUAGUUGGCGUGAUGACUUGUGGCAUUGCAGCUUUAACCUGUACGGAGCAGGGACUGCCCGCACCAAGCUCCUUUCUGCUGACUGCGAGUCGUUACCCUGGCGUAGAGAGAAAACCAUUCUUUUCGCAGGAAAUACAAGGGAUGUUCUCGGUGGAAAAUGUAUUGGCGAAGCUGCCGCACAGCGGCUUGAGUGGCGUGUGCCUGCGCCAUGUCAUUUUUUGGGGAAACGUGAUGUUUAAACUACUUGAAUAUGCGCUUUUGCUUGCUAAAGAAAUAAGCUUAUAGAGGGGAGAUGGUGCGACAGCUCACAGCUUUUACGUUUGAUGCAUCUGGAAGGGAUGUCUGUCGAGAUAUUCGUUACGAGCACGUGACUCGGAAGAGCCUGCUUACGGAGCCAGGCUUCCUCCAAGCACAGCUCUAGACGUGAAACACUUGUCAGCUCUCGGCAUGUGAGCGGUGGGUAUGAAGUGUGCAAAUCCCUGCCAGAGUAGAGGAAGGCAGGGGAUGCAAAGAGGAGUUGUGCGCCCAAAUACUUAUGAAGAUCAGGACCGUGGUCUUUCUAGUGCCUCAAUUUUUGUCGGUAUAGUUUUCUGCUGAGAGUUUACCGUGCUUCUGGUGAGUCUCUGCCGCUCUGUGCCGUGCAGUUGCAGCAGGAUGUGACUUUCCUCUCCGUGGCAGCACUGGAAGGGAUGCUCUCUCGCCCCGUAUCUCAACAAGUGCCUUGGCUCUGACAGUGCUUUAGUUAAACUGUAAACCCAUCUCUUCAAAUGACAGAAAAAUAGAUUUACCCAGCUGGAAGAGGGCUGGAUCAAAAUACUAUGGGGAGAAAAUGAUGCAAAAUCGGUGGCAAAAUCUGCCAUGGCCUGAUUUGCGGAGGUGCUAAUUAUGAGCAUCCCAUGGGAGGCUGGCGAGGACAGCAAGUGCUGGGCUCUCUUGCAGAACCAGGUUUGCGCUGGAAAUAGUAGUGGCCUGGUUUAAGCAGGUGAAUUUGUCUCAAACUGAAUUUCCUUGCGUGUAGCUGCUGAGAAAACUGUGUUUAUUUUAGAUAUGUGCCUCGUAGUUGGCUAAAAUGGGAAGAGAGCCUAAUAUGGGUCAUUAUAUAAUUACUAUAAUUCUUAGGAGUAUAACACUGCUCCUGAGAAUGCUAUGAGAGUGGGUGCUGCUGGGCUCGUCAAAUGAUUUAAUGGCUUUAUCAAGCAUAAGGAAGGAUGAUUUUAGGAAACUGCUUUGUGCAGUCAUUUCUUCACCUCCUGUUCCUGCCGCUGCCAUCCCUCGUCCUAACGAGGUGGUUAACGCAGCCCCGUGAAGUGUGGUGUGUUUCUGGCCAAACUAAUUCUACACUGCUGUGGGAUCCUCGCCAUCAGCUCUUGUUUAUCCCAAAUGCGGUUAUGCUUUUGCUCCCGGGUGCUGCUUCUGCGCCGGCUGGCCUGGGGUCUCAUCCCCGCUGGACCAAGCACCCUCUCCCGUGGGCAGCCUUUGGAGAUGAAAAGUUGAUGCUUAAGUGGAAGCAAGGACUUUGUGAAAAUUAGAUCGUGCAUGCUCAUCCUUACAAAUUAUUGGACUGUAACGACAAUGCUUUUUUUUAAUGCGAUACAUGAUCUGUGUUAGGGUUUGAGCCGUUGUUUAACGUUCAGGACCUAACAGAAAGUUAGGGUUUGUAAUUUAUUCUGAAAAGCACAAACGCUCUCCAAAGAGGAAUUGAUAAGUCAGAGUGAUGAUGGUGUGGGUAGAGCCUUAAUGAAGCUGCUGCGUUUGUGUUGGAGACUUUUCUGGCUUUUAUACGGCUUGGAGGCUUCAUUCCUGUGCGGCUGCUGACGUGUUCUUCAACCCAAGUUUUAGAAUAAUGCGGGUGCUGAAAUUAGCAUGGUUGUAUUUAGAGCAAAGGGAAGCAGGCGGUUGUAGCUCUGGAAAAUAGGGUGAAGUUUUUAUUUGAAAACAGUUAAGCAUAUGGAAACCGUCACGUUUUUAUAAACUUUCACUGUGACUCUUGCUUAACUGCUGCUUUUCUCAUGCUCUGACUCUUGAGCAACAGCGUAUUUUUAAGAACGCCUUUUCCCUGCUGGAAAACCUCCAUUUGUGGGGACAGCGUGCUGUCCUGAAGCAGCUGGGAUUGUGCCAAAAAUCUGCAGGAGACUUCCAAGGCUAGGGUUUCACAAGACGGUAAGUCUUGUUGAAGAGCUACUUGUACCAAGCACGAGAUGCUGUAGCCCUGUGACCUCAGGGCUACAUCCAGCCUGACCGUGGGCUGCCCGUCGCAUCUAUGAACAAAUAUUCCACUUUUUGCCUUGCGGACUGGUUUCUUUUUUUUUUUGCAUCCACAGUGCCCUUUCUUUGGGCUGGAAGAGUUGGCGAGCUCGCAGGUUUUCUUGCACCUUCCUUUUCACCAGGAAUAACUAUUUUGCUGGGCUUUGGUAAUGGAGGUUUGAUGAUCUGCCAGUUUGAUUUUUGCCUUCGAUGAAGCGAGAGCUGCGCAGUCCUUAUCCAGUCUCAUACAGCACCUAGUCGGAGCUUAGCGACUAUAAUAAAGGUAUUAGGUCAGGUCAGGUUCAGCACAGUAUCGCUAAUCCCAGCUCUGUGUUUCAGCUGUUCUUGUGUGCGUUAGGUAACCUGCCGGCGUCAGGUCAGGUAUGCAGGCUGGGAUGGAGGCAGCGCCCCGCCAUCAUGGGAAGGAGGAGAAAGCGAGGAACGUCCCUCAAGGACCUUCAGAUCUUGCUCAUUUGGAGCUGAGCCAUGUAAAUGUUUAAAAUACUGGCCUGGAUCUUGGUCUCUGGCUGCGAGGCGAGUGCACUUGCUGUUUUUCGGGGGUGGUCCCCAAGAUUAUUUAUAAAACGUCCGAUGAUGGCCUGGCUGGGACAUGGAAACUCUUCCCAGGCUCGUGUUUUUGCUGCCUAGCGCUCAUCUGUCUCCUGCCUCUGAAACAAGCCUGUGAAUCCUUCCAGUGUCUCAUAAGGGCUCGGCUUAAUUAAGCUUUUUAUAGCAUUUUACAAGCAUUAGCUAACUAAAUAUUGUGACAUCCCUGUGGGGUAGGUGUUUUUUCACUUAUCCUAACAAAGCCGUUUCUAUCUGCGUGGGCACUCGGAGAAUUGCGUUGGGAGGGAGAUGCUUUUGAAAUGAGAUUCCUGACGAUGCCCCAUCGUUGAGGGCAACCCGUGCCCGAUGUUAUACCAAGCUGCUCUAAAAAUAGGUGGAUUCCCAGAGGUUUGAGAGUGCUAACGUUAUCCCGUGCCUGUGUGACACAUCCGAUGGAAGUGUAAGAUGGUGUCAUAAAGAGAGUCCUGGAGAUAUGAGCAUCCUUUAAAAAGCAUGGCUUUUAGGAUAGCUGAGGUUGCAGAGGUGCUGAAGAUGCUGCUGGGGCCCUGUUGAUAGCGAUGUCUGGAGCUCGUGUUUAAAAUGUGUGUGUUCCUAAAGGAAAAGGAGAAUGGAAAAUAGAGUGAACGUGGGUUCCAUGUGAACUGCGCUGAGCUUUUCCCUGAUUUCUUAUCUUUAUGGCACUUGGCAAGAGAUUGGGGGCAUACGAAAGGGGCACGGGUGCUGGUACUUGAGAUGAGGGAGGAGAAAUGUCAACCUUCUGAAAAACCAAUUUUAUCUGGACAGUGAUACGGCAAAUUCUGGGGAAAAGCAUAACGCUGAGAGAUGCCAGUGUUUGUCUCGAACGGAGGGGCUGUUUUUAACCGGGAGGCAACAAGCGAGCAGCACGACUCCUGCUCUGGUCCCUCGUGUUUCGCCCGCAUAGUUCAGCGCUUGCAUCACGGCAGAAGAGGCGUUGGGCUCGGAGAAUUCCUGACAGUCUAGGACAUUGUGGUUUCUAAAACAAGGAGUCACGCAUGGUUCAAAGACAAUGUUGACACCAUUGUCAGCUCCGGGGCUUGGUCGGUACGUACUUGGUGGAAGUCUCUGUCUGAGCCGCCGGUGCUGCCACUGACACCAGGACAAGGUUUGUUUUUUCUUGAGCUUUUCCUCUUUGGUCUCUUCUACCUUCUUUGGCUUGUUCUGUUUGUAUUUUAAAUUUAGCUUCCUCGCACUGCCUUUUGCUUUGGUUUUGAGUUUGUUUCCCCGUGGAUUUGCCAUUUUUUCACCAAAGCAUGCUGAAACCUCUGGGAAGCUGCGUGCUCUAGCAAAAUCCAUCAGCGAAAGAGGGGCUAAUAAACUCAUACGGUUUCAAAAAGUUUGACCGAAAGUAGUUGGGAUGAAAGUCUUCCGUGAAUUUAAUGCUCUGCAGUUUCUAGUGGAGGGCAGUUUCUUGUAGGAGGCUGCGAUGAGAUGGAUAAUCCUUAUCUGUGGUGUUUCAUUGAAGCAUUCAACCUCCCACCAGCUCGGAGGCUUCACCGUGAGAUCUAAGCAGAUGCGAACCACGGGAGAGAAAUGUAAAGGAUAUAAGGAGAUAACGAAGUUGCAGAACAGCUCUGAAGGGGAGCAAGCUGGAAGUAACUGAGCUGCUAUGCAGAGAAGAUUAGGAUUACAACUAAGGACCUGAAGCCUAAAACCCCACGUUCUGCAGUGACCAAACCAGCGCUUCAAUCAAAUAGUUUAUUCCCUUGAAAGUGAUUUUUUUUCCAUGUUUUAAGGUAGAGCUGAAUGGGAGGGAGAGUGGGAAAAAAUGCGCUGCGCCCCUCGGUCUUGCUUCUCCUGUUUGUUUCCAGGGAGAUGGCUGAAAUGGGAUAACUUCUGUCCGUUGGAAAUCGGGAGAUGUGGCUGGAUUGAUGCAGAGGUGCUGAUCCAAGCACCACAGACCCCAGCUGCCGGGAGGAAUCCAUGACCGCACGACCUCGGCUAUGGACAUUGUCCUGUCGGAUUUUGUUCGCUCAACGGGGGCAGAGCCGGGACUGGCCAGAGACCUGCUCGAAGGUAAGAACUGGGACCUGAGCGCAGCCCUGAGUGACUUUGAACAGCUAAGGCAAGUGCAUGCUGGCAACCUACCCCAUUCCUUCAACGAAGGACGCAACUAUAAACCCCCUGAAAAAGAGGCAGCCCGUCCCGGGCGACCGCCGCUCCAGCGGCAGGAUGAUAUCGUACAAGAAAAACGCUUGUCUCGAGGCAUUUCCCACGCCAGCUCGACCAUCGUCUCCCUGGCCCGGUCCCACGUCUCCAGCAACGGCAGCAGCGAACAUCUGCUGGAGAUGCCCAUCUGCACCUUCCAGCUGCCUGACCUCACCGUGUACACGGAGGACUUCCGCAGCUUCAUCGAGCGAGACCUCAUCGAACAGUCAAUGCUGGUGGCGCUGGAGCAAGCUGGUCGUCUGAACUGGUGGGCGAAUGUGGAUCCCAGUUGCCAAAGGCUGCUUCCCCUGGCCACCACUGGUGAUGGGAACUGCCUGCUCCAUGCUGCCUCCCUGGGUAUGUGGGGUUUCCAUGAUAGAGAUCUCAUGCUUCGCAAAUCCCUUUACACCUUGAUGGAUAAAGGCAUGGAAAGGGAAGCCCUGAAGCGGAGGUGGCGUUGGCAGCAAACGCAGCAGAACAAGGAGUCUGGUCUUGUUUACACUGAAGAGGAGUGGCAGAAGGAGUGGAAUGAGCUGAUCAAGCUGGCAUCCAGCGAGCCUCGUGUACACUACAGCACCAACGGGGGCGGCUGUGGAGGUGUUGAAAGCUCUGAAGAGCCGGUGUACGAGAGCCUGGAGGAGUUUCACGUCUUCGUCCUCGCCCACGUGUUGAAGAGACCCAUAGUGGUGGUGGCAGACACGAUGUUGCGGGACUCAGGGGGAGAAGCCUUUGCCCCUAUUCCCUUUGGAGGGAUCUAUCUUCCCCUGGAAGUCCCAGCUAACAAAUGCCAUCGUUCUCCAUUGGUCCUGGCUUACGACCAAGCCCAUUUUUCUGCCCUGGUAUCCAUGGAGCAGAAGGAACCCACAAAAGAUCAAGCUGUGAUCCCCCUGACGGACUCUGAGCACAAGCUGCUCCCUGUGCACUUUGCCGUGGAUCCCGGGAAGGAAUGGCAGUGGGGAAAAGACGACAGUGACAACGUCAAGCUAGCCAGUGUGACGUUAUCACUGGAAGCAAAGCUGCACUUGCUGCACAGCUACAUGAAUGUUAAAUGGAUCACAUUGCCAUGUGACAUGCAGGCGCCUUUGGCCCAGCCGGAAUCCCCUACAGCCUCCGCGGGCGAUGACGCUCGUUCAGCUGCGGAGUCGGGAGAGUCGGACAAGGAGUCGGUCUGCAGCAGUUCAGCGAGCAAUGGUGGCAGCAGGGGCUGCAAGGACAAAGAGAAACCAAAGAAAGAGCGAGAAAAGGAUAAGGAAAAAGAUAAAAAACGGGCAGACUCGGUUGCCAAUAAGCUGGGCAGCUUCGGCAAGACUUUGGGAAGUAAGCUAAAAAAGAACAUGGGUGGCUUGAUGCACAGCAAAACUAUCAAGGGAGGUGUGAGCAAUGGGCAGGGGGAUACCUUGGAGAAGAAGAAGAAAGGAUCCUUGAAGUCCAGGAAAGGCAGCAAAGAGGAAUCUUCUCAAGGAGACUUGUCAGCUCCUGUGGAGAAACCCUGCCCAGGUAAAGCAGCCCCUGAAAAGCCGGCAGACCCUUACAAAUACAGCAACGACGUCAGGCUGAGCCUGAGCAUCCUCCGGGCUGCCAUGCAGGGAGAGCGCAAGUUCAUCUUUGCCGGCCACCUCAAGACCAGCAACCGGCACCAGUAUCAGGAGGAGAUGAUCCAGCGGUACCUUCUGGAUGCCGAGGAACGUUUUAUGGCUGAGCAGAAACAAAAGGAGGCCGAGAAGAAGGCGCUGGGGAGUGCUGCUCCUGCCAAGAAGCUGGAGCCGGAGGCGAACACCCACAAGGGUGAGGAAGCGAUGCUCACCCCCGCUUACGCCCAGCCUCCCCCCACGUACACCAUCCAGACCCCAGAUCUGGCCAUAGGCACUAAAAUAGCAGCUUUUCCCUCUGGCUAUUCGGGUGUUUUCACCUUUCCCAGACCCUCCAUGGUGAACAGCAUGGAAGGGUCGCACCCCCCCAGCUAUCAAGACAGCAGGCGGCAGGUAGCCGGGGGAUCCUGCAGCAGCCUUCCUCCCUAUGCUACCUUACCCAGACAUUGCACCCAGGCGCGGCUGAAUCCCUACCAAACCAGCCCUUCCCACCUGGGGAGAUUCUCCCCCACGGACAUGGACAUCCAUCCCACUUACCGGUCGGAGUGCGAUGGCUCAACCUGCCUCCCCCUGCACAGCAACGGCUACAGGGAAUACCUCGACCAGGAAAGCUCGCAGAAAGGAAUGCCGGCAGACAAAAAUAAAAGCCGAGUUCUUUAUAACAUUCAGCAGACCAAAUGCAAGCAGCCAAACUGCAGUUUUUACGGACAUCCAGAAACUGGGAAUUUCUGCUCGUGCUGUUACAAAGAGGAGCUGAAACGCAAGGAGCAGGAGGCUCUAGUGCACAGGUUCUGAGCACCCUGCCCUGGUGCUGAUCUUGGGACCCAUGAAAGAUGGGGAAUGCAAUAAUAUAUAUAUAUAUAAUUCUUUUUAAACCCCCCCCCACUCCUCUCCCUGUCUGUGGAAGGAGGGAGCGGGUAUUUGGCUGGAUGGGCUGAGAAAUGAGAUUUGGCUGGUGUGAUGGAGGUGAUGCAGGAGGGUGGUGGGAGGGAUAGGAGGUGAGAAAAACCAGCUCCCCCCUCCCAGAGACCCUGCAAGAGGGAGGAGGAUGCUUUUCAAGAGGCUUCUUCUGGCAAGGGGUGACUAGGAUUAGCAGAAGGUGUGCUCAGGUUGGAGCACAGGGUGCAAGGGGGGGUUCUUCAAAACGAUUCAAUAAACCAGACCAAAGCUUUCGGAGAAGGCAAACAGGGAGCAGCACCCUGCCGGGUCCUGCCAGCUGGACUCCGACGGCAUUAGCUGCCCAGAAUUGAGCGAAAACGCCCCAGCGAUUUCAGUUUGAACGUCACAAACCUUUUAAUUGAGAUUUUUUUUUUUUAACAGUUUUUAUUUUAUAUUUCUUUUUGCUGGUACUGAGUGAAACUUAGUUGGAAUUGGACAUUAUUGGGGUUGUUUUUGCAGUUGAACACGUCCAAGCCCAGCCCCAUCGGAUGUCUCCAACCAUCUCUUAGCAGCGGGCUUGGGGCUCUGCCCUUCCAAUGGGCUCAACUCUGGUUUUAAAAUGUUAUUUUUAAACUCUUUUUUCUUGGGGUGGGAGGGAGACGGAGGGGUGGUCACAGUGCUUGAGUGGUUUUGAGGUGUUUUUCCUGCAGAAGUACUGUGCAAAACCAUUCUGUUUGCGGUACGGUUGACCUGACUUAGUAAGAAUUGAGACAAGAAACAAGGUCGGUGUCUCCACCCAGCAAUAACCAUCGGUGUGGGGAAGUAGAGAGGACAAAGAGCAUCCCACAGCACCAGGAGAAGGCACCAAACUAUGCAAUCCCUUUCCAUGCUGAUCCUGCCCGCUGCCCUUCCUGGUGAGAAGGGACGAGAGAACCGGGCAGAGGAGGUGAAAGUGUACUUAACACUGGAGAAUCACCUGAAGCCUUAUUCUCACAAAUACCCUAAGGCUUGGUUCUAAUGUACAAGUUUUACCACUUUAAUAUAUAUCUAAAACCCCACAAAUUAAGGCCUUUUUUAGAGGCGGCGGCUGCACGGGGUCAUUAGGUGUGGUCCUAACGGUUUGGGUCCAGCCAUCGAAGCUGCUUGUGGGCGGAUUGUAAAUAUCCCAGUGAUGGUUUAACUCAGAUUUCAGUUGUUCUCUUUGGUUUUAUUAAAUCACUGAGCAUAGAUAAGCCUUGCCCAGCUGCAUGAUGCGAAAGGCCGCCUUUAAUAUACGAUCGAUGCAGCCGAGGGUCAGCACUGGCUCCUGUAGGUGACGUGUCCUCUUAUCUCAGAGCAAAUGCCAGAUAGCAAGUCUUUCCCUUAAAUUGCAGUAAAUCCAAUGUACUUUAACCCAGGAGUGAGAAUAUAAAGCACUGGUUAAGCCCCGCAGGCUCUCACCCCGGUUAUCCUGCAGCAGUCUCUUGGUUCACCCCAAAUAUUAAGCCAAAAUGUUUAGAAAAACAAACAAACCCCUCACUAUAUGGGGGUCACUUGGUUUAUAUACCAGUUUCUGCUAUUUAUUUUUCCUGUAACCGGAGCGGCAGCUUUAUUUUGGUUUGGGGAGCAUCCUUUGGCUACUGCCGAAAGCGAUCAGAGCAGGGGAUGCUCUGUGCGCCCCCCCCAACCAAAGAACGUGGGCACAGGAGGAGGGAAGGCAAAAGGUGAUGCUUCACCAGCUGUUCCUAGUUUUUGGGGGGGGGAUUUGUCUCUGUUUUGGUUAACUCCAUCCUGCCACGGUGCCAAGCCAAUGGAUGCUGGAGGUUGCAUUGUGGUGGGAAGCGCCCGGCGCUGAUUUUUGGACCCACUCUCUGGAGGGGGGUUCCUUCCCGGCAACGAAGCACCACCAGGAAAUCUUGGCUGUUCACACAGCAGAGGUUAUGGGGAGCUUUGCUUUAAUUUUGUAAAUGUGAUGGAGUUGUGCGUAAUACUGUCUUAGGGGGAAAAAAAAUGGGGAAUGCCAGCAGCAGGUACCCCGUCUGCGCAUCCUCCUAGAAGAAAAUCAUCUCAAAUCCCAAAUUCCCAGAGAUGCUGUCACUCUUCCUCCUCCUGAGGGUUUUUUUUGGGGGGGGGAAAGCAAGUUUUGCUUUGUGUUCUUAUUAACAAAGCUUGAGUGUAGCGUGGUCCCUCUCUGAGGACUGGGUAAGCCCGGAUGGCUGCACCGGGGUGGGAAUGCCAACCUCUCCCAAUCCCAUGGGCACCUGGAAGGGAAAUGAGAAGGGGGCUUGCGUGCCACCCCAGCGCUGCGGUUAAGGAGGAAAAGGGCAAAGUUGUUCCCCAAAAAGUUGUUCUCCAGGUCUGGGGGGGGUUUGGACAGCCAGCCCUGCAGCCUUGGCAUGCGCAGGGCUCCCAGCAUGGUGGGAUUUUGCAGGAUCUUCAGUGCCCUGCGUUGUCGGGUUUUAUUGCAGUUAGUAGAAUCUGUAGCUUUUUUUAAAAUCCAAAGGGGGGUGUGGGGGGGUGGAACCAACCAACUGAACUUCAGGCAAGGAUGAAAAAUCUUUGCAGAGUAUUUUUGCUAUGAAGGGCAGAGUUUUGGCUAUUCCCCAAGCGCCGCAUGAGCCCCAACCUCAGCUGGGUCGCACCGAACCGGCUGCAUUUCUUCAGAACCAUGAAGGAUUUUUUCAGGUCAUUUUUGUUUCCUUUAUGGUGAAACUAAUUAUUUUUUUUUCUUUUUUAAGGGACUGUUAAAUGCAAAUUAUAUUUAUUGAAAGAUGAUAUCUACCAUCCGCCAGGUCCUAUUCAUAAACACACUAAAGCCACUGCCCAUGCAGUGUUUUGGGGGCUUGGGACUGGAUAUUUUUCCUAUUUUUUUAAAGCGGGAAGCGAGAGCAACUCAUACUCCAAAGUACCUUUCAUGGAAGAAAAAGCACCAAACCUGCCCCCGGGAGGGUUUUUCUCCCAUCAGCUGCGACGUGAUCCUGAGGUCUUAAAAUAAGUGCACUUAAUGGUGUCGUUGGAAGAAACAUUGCUGCCAGCAGGCCCUGGGUGCAGUAAAGAUUUUCUUUAAGGGUGGGCAAAACCUAUUAAUGAGCAUUUUAUUUUGUCGAACGAGCAUUUACCUUCACAUAUGUUACCUGGCCCCUCCCUGGGGAAGGCUGAUGGGAUGCUUUGGUUAUCACUAAUCCUACAAGAAGUGACCUGAAUUAAUUCUGCAAUUGUUUAUUUACAAAAGACUUUUUUUUUUUUUUUUAAUUAAAUAUUAGGUUGGUGAUUUUUUUACUCCUUGUGAGCACCGCUGUAGCCAGCACUAGAUGGCGUGUCGCAGUCAGGCUGUACACCGCAUCCUUCGUUUAUGCUACCAUAGAUUCACUGACAAUAAACAACAUUCAACUAAUUAA